GUGCCAGCAGCCGCGGUAAUACGUAGGGUGCGAGCGUUAAUCGGAAUUACUGGGCGUAAAGCGUGCGCAGGCGGUUUUGUAAGACAGGUGUGAAAUCCCCGGGCUUAACCUGGGAACUGCAUUUGUGACUGCAAGGCUAGAGUACGGCAGAGGGGGGUAGAAUUCCACGUGUAGCAGUGAAAUGCGUAGAUAUGUGGAGGAAUACCGAUGGCGAAGGCAGCCCCCUGGGUCGAUACUGACGCUCAUGCACGAAAGCGUGGGGAGCAAACAGGAUUAGAUACCCUGGUAGUCCACGCCCUAA
rnacentral:rRNA from 1 species